CUUCACUUUCGCUUGCUGCCGGGAGAGGAGUGGGUGUGCUUUCCAAGCCGGGCGCCUUCAUCAAGGAUUAAACAUGGCUUCAAAGAUCUAGAAGACUUACUCCCAGCAGAUGAGGAAUUUAGCGGUUACAGAACAUAGCAUGGAACUCUCACAGAGAAGACACAACUGGCAGUGCAAUGGACAGAGUCAGCAUCUGUGACAGAGCAUAAAUUCCUGGAAUAUUGAGAGUAAAACUGAAAGAAGAAUCCAUUACAAGAUGGGAUGAGAAAAGUUUGGUCCUUUGAGGUUUAGCUUCGGAGUUUGAAUACAAUAAAGAUAACGAAGAAAAAGACAAAUGUAGUUGUGUCAACAGCCUGAGAGAAGGAUUCAGAGUAUGAUCCUUUUCUCUCCCAGAUAAUUUGAAAUAAUAAAGCCUAUUUACUCUGGAAACUGACUGUACUCAGGGACAGGAGCAGUAAAAAAUGAAGAACUACAGUUUUGAAUGCUUCCUAACACCGUUUGUACAGUGUAUCAUGUUGUUCUAUGAGUUCUGUUCAUCUGUGAUGUAGAGGAUCUCAUCUCAUCAGUAAGUAAGAAUUUGAAUUAUUCUUAUUGACAACUUCAUCAUUAUCUGUACUAAUAACAAGGUUGUAGAAGCUAUGUGUCAGUAACUUAGUCACAUAUUUGACACAAUGUAUGUAGUGAAUACUUAGUUAAUCUGAGUUGCACUGAACUUCUGCUAUAUUUACCUUUAACUAUAUGUGUUGUUUUUUUUUGUUUGUUUGUUUGCUUUGUUUUCUUUUGUGGGUUUUUUUUUUUUUUUUUGUACUAAACAUUCUCUAACCUCAGUUUUAGAAUUCAGUGCACAUUUAUUUAAGCUUUAUGUUAAGUUCAUCCCUGACAACAAGUGAAAUUUAAAACUACAUGUGUUAGACAUGUUUCAACGUAUAACUACAGACAGAAGUAGACUAUUGAAUCUAUAACCUCAGAGAUUAUUCUUGUAGAAGGCAGACAAAAAACAAAAGCAGAAACAAACAACAACAACAACAACAACAACAACAGAAUGAGUGUUAUUUUCUGUGAAUGAUUUUCUGGAGUAUCUUUUCCACUGUUUUCUAUUAUUUUCCUGCACAACUUUAAUUUUUUAUGUGAUUCACAUUCUGAUAGAUCUGUAUUAUCUGUAAUUGUCUUCUCCAAUAUCUAAGAUGUACUCAUUUCUUCUUUUUCUCUUCAUAUCAUAUACUUAUUUUUUAAAAAGUGUUGAAAUACAUAAAAUGAAUAGCAGAAAUUCAAGGAGGCCAAUGACAUUUUCCCACAGGUCUACCUACAGACUGCUAUCAUAAUGAAGUAUUUUUUCCUAUGUUAAUAACGAACACAUGCUAUUUGGAUGAAAAGACAGUGAUACAUCUGGUAGACAGAAAGUAUCUAGAACUGUAGACACCUUUCUUACUGAUGCAUGCACACACACGCACAAACAGAACCUGAGUGGAUAAACUUACAAUUUUAAGAUGGAAUAAUGUCUUUCCAAAUAUUUUUCUUCUCAUACCAGUCAAAUGGCAUAUCUUUGUUACAUGUCUAUGCUACACAAUUCCAUACUAAAACACUUACUGUUUAUUAUUUCUACCUUUUGUAUACUCCUCUGGAAAAGUGUCAAGAAAGGAAAAAGUAGACUGUGAGUCUGCUUGUGAGUCGAAGUGAACAACAUUUUCAGUAUGAAGAUCCUGUCGAGUACAAUACUUGUUCAGUGCAGCCUUUGAAGGAUCUAGCCCAUUAACUUAAAUAUAUAUAUAUAUAUAUAUAUAUAUGCUUAGUGUAGAUUUGAUAACUGUAUUACACAGGUUUAGAAAUUGCCUGUCACUUCAAAACACUUUUUUUUUCUGAGGAAAAUAAAUAAUAUGCAAAAGAGCUCUUUGUUGGUAAUAUUCAGUGAGAUAACUCUGCAUUACUUAAGAACAUCUUUGGAAGAAUAACUUUGCAUACAUAAAGAUGAGAAUCAUAAUUCAUUCUGUAAUAAAUAAAAGAAAGCUAUAAAAACAUUCAUGAUGAAAUGACCGUGGUUUACCAAGAGGCAAUUGUUACACAGCAUCAAAAAAUCAUUUUUAAAAGCAAACUAGUGCAGUAGUGAAAGGUUAUACAGAAGGAGUGAGUAACCUUAGUCCCUGAAGACCUUCAAGGCUCACUAGAAAAGUUACAAAAGAUUUUAUCUAGUGCUGGCAAGAGACAUGAAAGUUCUUAUAGGUAACCUCCAUAAGUAGUAUUUAAUCAAUAUUUAUAUGAAUCUGUCAUUACUAAAAUUCUGGUGAUUUCUGCUGCAUUGUUCAUAGCUGUAUGUUUUUGUGAGUCAGGUUACAUACUUCAUCUGACUUAUUUUUACUUUAAGAAAGGAUGAAUUGCAUCCUAACCUAUAAGGACUGUAAACACAGUUUAGACUGAGAACUUCAAAUGUGGAUGUUAAAUUUUAGUCAAAUAAGCUCCACUUUCUCUGAGUGCACAGAAUACAUACUAUGGAGUUAGCAGCUGGUGGAUAAAACCUUCAAUUGUGAUUGUUUAGGGUAAAAUUCAUAAAAUUUAUUAUGAGUUUUAAUGAUUAAGAAGCCAUUAACAAUGAGUUUCACUGUAAUACUAUUAACAGUAAUAAAAACACUACAUAUCAAUAAUACACGUCUAAAUCAGAAGAUUUAGAAUUUGAGAGAAUCAGAACUCUUUUGGUCUUGUUCAGCAGUUAUAUACCUGAUAGCUUCUCUGAGAAAUUUCUGUCUAAGUAAUAAUAAGAAACAUUCCCUUAGGCUGUUCAUCAGCUUGUCUUCAAUAUCAUAAUCUUGUAUGAAUAAUACAGUUUCAGUCUGACCUUCCUCAAGUCUCCAAAGAAGACAGAUAUUGAAAAACAAGAAACCACAGUCAAGACACAAAACUGGUAAUCUGGAUUCCAUUCCAUGUUCAAAGUUACAGAAAACAUUCUUGAUUCUCAGCAGUGAUUGGAAAAUAUAACUCGUGACUGUUAUUUUUAGCAAGAAAAAAAAUAUUAAAGAGAAUUAAGACAGAACUUGAAAAAAAAAAAAAAAAACUGCUUAUAACAAAAAAUGGCUUACACUUUCCUUGCAGACCAAAAAUUGAUUCUCAAAAAAAACAUGUGUAUGCUUUUCUCUGGAGAGGAUGCUGUGUUUUUUUGUUUGUUUGUUUGUUUGGUUUUUAAUGGGAUUUAACUUUGUUUUAGAAUUAUUUUCCAGUGGUUGAAUAUAUGAGACAUUUUUUACUAUUAUUUAAUUAUGCUUUGCUCCAAGGUAAUUAUUUUAAACUUAGGGAGAUUUAAAUUGACUUGUUUUACGUCUUGAUUUUUGUUUUUGUUUGCUUUGUUUUACGGCUUGAUGUUUAUGUAGAAGCUUUACAAGUACUGCAAGUUUGACAUAUGGAAGAAUUACCAACACGCAUUUCAAAGGUUGAUUUUCCAGGAUAUACAUAAACUACUAUGGAACCAAAGGAAAAAAAUGUGGAUACUGUUUGUGGAUACUGGUGUCUGUAUAUUUCAUCUACAUCUGCAAAUGAAUACAGCACUCAAAUAAUAAUAAUUAAAAAAAAAAAAAACUACUAAAAAUUAAGAAAAGUUGGAUAUGUUAGGAAACAGUGAUAUGUGAAGAAAAGCCAUCUUACUAUAAGAACUUGGUUACAGAAGAUGAAUGUGAAGAGGAACAAUCCUAGUGAAAGUGACAGAUUCUGAACCAGUAGAGUUAAAUUGUUUCAUUUUAAAUUAUCAUUAUUAAUUAUCAUCAUUAUAAAAAGACUGUUGGAUUCCUCAUGUCUGUGUCUCCAGUCCACAACAGAGAUUCGAAAAUGUUAUCACAUUAGUUUGAGAUAUAUCGAGUUUUCAAUUUUAUUUUGUUUCUCUCAGUACAGCCUACUGAACAGGUUGUGCUGGAUUAUUAAAUUGGUAGUAAAUAUAAAUACAGUACUAGUUUCUGAUUAUUGCUAAUCUUCAUGUUAUUUUGACUGGAACACUAUGCUUCUAGAGUACACUCCUGUUUCUUUUUGUUUACCUUCCUUUGUCCUCAUUUGUAUAAAUAAUAGCUAAAUAAUCACAGAAGUUACAUUCACUUAUUUCUGAAACAUAAUAUCUCUAUUGCCUCCUCAUCCAGAUCUGAGGCAGACUGAGUUAAUGAGACAUUUACUUCAGUCCUGUUUUUCUCCUGUGAAUCUAAAUGGUAACUGUUAUAGAUCUGUUUACUUCCUUUCUUUUUUUACCAGUGGCUCACCUUUGACAUAUCUUUUGAGUUAUACCACUUGUCUUUGGACUCCUCCAUGUUGCUGUUCAUUUGGAAAUCUCACUUAUUUUUAAAGCCUUAUUUUGGCAGCUUUCUUGCUUUUAAAAGAAUUAGCUACAUGGGAAAUCGAUCCAACUAACACUUAUUUUGCGCUCACUGAAAUGCUUCUGUGACAGACAGGUGACAUUGUGCAGCUGUAUUUUAUGCUGGUUUUGUGUUUGUUUUUAUCUACUUAAAGUCAUUCCUCCUUCAGAUUAGUUAAGUGUUAUGGCCUUUAUAGUGCUCAUUUUCAGGUAAGAGAAUUUGGUUCAAAUUCUGUCCUAGUUUCAGCUGGGACAGAAUUGCUUUCUUCAGAGCGUCUGGUAUGAUGCUAUGUUUUGGUUCUAGAAGAACAGUAUUGAUAACACCCCGUUGUCCAUACUCACUUGGGAGGUUAUCUGGACAUCAGUCAUGGAGUGGUGAGCAAUUGCUUGUGCAUCGCUGGUUAUAUACACGUAUAUAUAUAGUCAUAAUUAUUGUCCUCCUUUUCUCUAUCUUAGUAAAUAUUUUUAUCUCAACUCAUGCGCUCUACUUUUUUCUUUCAAUUCCCUCCCCCAACCCAGUAGGAAAGGGGGACUGAGUGAAUGACUGUGACUGUGAAUUACUGUGGUACUCAACCACAUGCCAGGUUAAACCACAACAACUUCUUGUUUUAAUUGAUCAGAGGGUCAAAUCCAGUAUCACUCACAUAGAAAAAUUUCGUUGAUAAUGAACAAGAUUGGGUGGUUCUGUAUUUCUUUCUUUCACCAUCCAUUCUCAAUACACACAAAUGUACGUAUAUAUAUAUAUAUAAUAGAUGCAAAGAAACCUUGAAAUGAGUUUCUCAAAAAUAUUUUAAAAUGUAAGUACAUACUAUAGCUGUAGGAGGUGCUCAUAAGAGGUUUCUCAUUGCUACUGGAAUUCAAGAUUUAUAGAUCUGUCAUUUUGCAAUGUUUGAUUUAUCUGCUCUUCAAAAGUUGUUCAUUAUUAAAAAAAAAAGAAAAGAAGUCUAAGUUUUCUAAGUGAAGAUUUACUCAGUCAACAGUACUACUAGCUGUAUGAAUCAUUCUUUGUUUUCUGGCUCAAAGCUUGCUUCCUGAGGUAUUUCUUAUGAUAAGACUCUAGGAGAUGAGAGAUGGGUGCUGCUGUGUGGCAAUCAACAUCACUAUUUGGACAAUUUACAUUUGAAAGCAUUUCUUUGGAGCUGUUUGCCUUCAGCCCAAGAGUCAAAGGAAUGCUCAGGACUGUUUACUGGACUGUUUACUGGCAGAAGAUCUGUCCUGUGACCAAAGUCUGCUAUGGGAGAUUGGAGGAUGAUACCAUCAUAUCUUGUGAAGGCAAGAUACUAGUUGGCGUCUCCAUACUCCCUCUUAUCUGCUGGCAAGGCCAGGGAGAUAGGAACAAAAGGAAUUCCUGCUGAGAUCCAAAAGCCAGAAACUGUCAUUCCAAAAGGCUGACUCAACCACUGUGGACUUAUAAAUAAGUUUGUGCUGUCAUCAUCGUCAUCAUCGCCAUCGCCGUCGUCGUCGCGGUGGUCACUGUCCUCAUCAGCGCAACAACACCCAAUGGCCCACGUCUACUUAAGAGCAAUGACUGAACCAUGAACCACGGUAGACCCAUGGUGGUGACUAUCUCCCUCUUGCUUCCUAUAGAGACUCCUUGCUCCUAUUUCCUAUCUUUUCUGCUGCCCUUCUUCCCUUCCCCAUCACACUAAUCUAUACCUAUAAAGACUCCUUGAUUCUAUUUUCUAUCUUUUCUAUUGCCUUUCUUCCCUUCCCCAUUACCCCAGUCUGUAAUAGUUUCCAUCCUCCCCUUUCUUCAUCUUCCUUAUUAACAUUUGUAAUAAACUGGUCGGACCAACAUUUGAACCGUUGUUUCUUAAUCUCACACUGGGUAUACAUACAUCAGAGAACCUCCUCUCCC
ensembl:lncRNA